CGGCCCCGCAUGGGCCUCCGGGAGGCGGCCGGGCCGACUGCUCGUCCUCGGCGCCCCGCAGUGCGCCAGCCUGGCCUCCCUAGCCUCAGCUCUGCUGCUCGGCACGUCCCAGCUCCUGUAGCUGCUCCAGCGCCAGAGGGUUCCCUGAGCCCUGAGAGGAUGGAUUUGAUGGAGGCAUUCAGUUUAGGGCUGAGUGUUCCAAGGUCUCUCUCUGCACAGUGUCCAGGUUGGCUCUCUGUAUUUGGCCCCAUUUGCUGCAGGAGGCAGCUUCUCUGAUGAUGGCUGAGCUGGAUACUUACAGUCUUUCUGCGUGUCCUUGGCUGGUUUCUGGUUCCUCUUCAGAGAAGAACUUUUGUGAGUAUUCCCCCCAUGGCCAAUGCCUUUACCCCCCCCCAAUGCCCUCAUCCUCCCCACGCUAAUG